GGUCUUUAGGGGGAGGGUAAUGCUGGGGGAGAGAAACGGCCUUUUAUGCUUUGAAAAGGUUGCAAACUAAGAAGAGAAAGAUAGUCGAUCGACGAGCAUCAAAGAGUCGCAAGAUAAGGUAUCAAGUUCAUGAAAGAUUGUCAAUUUCAUGGCUCCUCGGCCUUGUGAUCUUCUUCCUAUGGCUCCUAAAUUAUUUGAGAAUUUGUUUGGGUUAAAGACCCAAAGACCAGCUUCUGUAUCCUAGUACUCGUGCAAAGUUGAGCAAGCCAUAAGGUCUUAUCACGUCAUAGGCUUUGCAAUUUUGUAAUAUUAGUUGACAUAAUUGUUUGUCUUUAUAUUGUUGACUUGACGCUUGAUAUAUGUGAUAUCAAUGGUUUCCAUUGGUGCAAGCAAAAAUAUUGGGAUUUGUACUUGCUGUGUGUUUUUAGGCUGCUGCAAUACUUCAUGGUGAUACUGAAAUUUGAAAAAGCUCAAAAGAAGACGGAUCAGGAUUCCAGAGAAAGCAUAUAUGGGUCCAUUUGCUCCCAUGUAUGGGUCCAUUUGCUCCAACAAGUGGGUGAGUUGAGUUGCUCGAGAUUUAUCAUAUUGCA